AGGACGAACGCUGGCGGCGUGCUUAACACAUGCAAGUCGAACGCUGAUCCUUGUGCUUGCACUUGGUGAGGAGUGGCGAACGGGUGAGUAACACGUGAGUAACCCUGCCCUUCACUUCGGGAUAACUCCGGGAAACCGGGGCUAAUACUGGAUGUGACCUGGUGCCGCAUGGUGCUGGGUGGAAAGUUUUUCGGUGGGGGAUGGACUCGCGGCCUAUCAGCUUGUUGGUGAGGUAAUGGCUUACCAAGGCGACGACGGGUAGCCGGCCUGAGAGGGCGAGUCGGCCACACUGGGACGUGAGACACGGCCCAGACUCCUACGGGAGGCAGCAGUGGGGGAAUAUUGGCACAAGUGGGCGCAAGCCUGAUGCAGCGACGCCGCGUGAGGGAUGGACGGCCUUCGGUUGUAAACCUCUUCAGCUCUGAAGACGACGAGAGUGACGGUAGGA
rnacentral:rRNA from 1 species